UGUGAAGGCGCUUGAGGAGGUCCUGUUCUGCAAGAGGCAGAUUUUAAUCAAGUAGCUUGCAGCAUCCAUAUCUCCCUCCUACCUGUUGCCAACAUGCCUGACGCUUCUUCAUAUCUCCCCUACCUCAGAAUGCUUCAAAUGGUGCAUCACAGUGUAACAGUAACAAGGUUGCCUGAAGAGCUGUGGGGAUAAAAUUUCAGAGGUCCUGUUGCUUUUAUGGCUGCUGCAGCUGCUGGGAGUGGAGUAACUUGGUGAGUGGAGGAGAGAAAUGGAGCAGCAAAGUGAAAUUACCUAACACUGAAGUGCUGGAAUCUGUAUUAACAUCCUGUGGUCAGAGGGGGAAAAACAGCCCAGUGCCCCACGUAGCACAGAUUUGAUCUACAUACCUCAACAUCAACAUGAAGGAGCAAUCUGUCCUGCUGCUUUUGUUCCACAGUUGACAUCCAAAUACUACUACAAUCCCAGUAAGGUAUCUCAAGAAAGCAUUUAAUAAGAGAUGAGCCACAUUAACUUGCAUUAUUAUAUACUCAUAUGUAUAAGUUCAGGCUAGAAAAUCAGGAACAAUGCAAUCAUUCUCUAUGAUUAUUCCAUAAAUGCUAAGAACAUUUUGAAAUAUAGGCUAUCUUUGUUUUUAGCUAGUAGGUAGUAAUUGGUUACCAACCAAUACUUAGAAUUUAUUACAGUUAUAAUAUUGUUAUUUACCAGAAGUACAAUGAGAGUUAGAGAUGCAUCCAGUAAUCUAGUGAGAGAUUUGGUAGACUUUGGUUCAUUGUGAACUUAAUUAUUUUAUCUGACAGUUCAAGUAAACACUGGAUCAUACUGACUUUUUAAUUGUUCAUCUUGAACAUGAUAAAUACAGUAUUAUAUCAAAACAAACACCUGAUAAACUGUAUAUGAAAUUUCAAAUUUGCAGAUUUUGUGUGACUUAUCCAACCUCCAAGUGAUCUGAUAUGGUGAAAAUAUUUUAGAAAUGUUUAGCAUGGCUUUUUCUUUGUAACACAAGUUAAAAUCUACUUCCAAAUUCCAGGAUACAAUUUAACUGCGAUACUCGUUUUUUAUGACUAUGUGUUCUUUUGUCAUAAGGGUGCUAUUUCACUGAAGUCUAAAGAUGAAAAGAAAUUUUUUUCAUUACUAGUUAUCAGAUGUGUGUUGAAAGAGUUCUAUUCAUGUGUUAUAAAGUUUUCCAUGUCAUAGUUUU
ensembl:lncRNA